rnacentral:lncRNA from 1 species
CACGUCGCUCUUGGUGGUGUAGACGCGGUCGGCCAGGCUCUCCAGGGCCACCCACUUGACGGGGACGGGGGCGACGCGGCCCUGCCGGUAGUACUGCCCCCCCCCCCACCGGCUUCGACAGCCCGAAGUCGGCCACGCACCCCCGCAGCCGCGCGCCCAGCGGGGGGGGGGGGCACCGACACCGUGUCACCACCGUCACCAUGUCACCGUCACCGUGACACCGUCACCACGACACCAUGUCACCACCAUCACCGUGUCACCGUGUCACCACCAUCACCACCACCAUCACGUCACCAUGUCACCGUCACCGUGUCACCGUCACCAUUGUGUCACCAUGUCACUGUCACCAUGUCACCACUGUCACCACUGUCACCACCAUCACCAUGUCACCAUGUCACCGUCACCGUGUCACCGUCACC